rnacentral:rRNA from 1 species
CCUACGGGAGGCAGCAGUGGGGAAUUUUGGACAAUGGGCGCAAGCCUGAUCCAGCAAUGCCGCGUGAGUGAAGAAGGCCUUCGGGUUGUAAAGCUCUUUUGUCAGGGAAGAAACGGCUGAGGCUAAUAUCCUCGGCUAAUGACGGUACCUGAAGAAUAAGCACCGGCUAACUACGUGCCAGCAGCCGCGGUAAUACGUAGGGUGCAAGCGUUAAUCGGAAUUACUGGGCGUAAAGCGUGCGCAGGCGGUUUUGUAAGUCUGUCGUGAAAGCCCCGGGCUUAACCUGGGAAUUGCGAUGGAGACUGCAAGGCUUGAAUCUGGCAGAGGGGGGUAGAAUUCCACGUGUAGCAGUGAAAUGCGUAGAGAUGUGGAGGAACACCGAUGGCGAAGGCAGCCCCCUGGGUCAAGAUUGACGCUCAUGCACGAAAGCGUGGGGAGCAAACAGGAUUAGAUACCCUGGUAGUCCACGCCCUAAACGAUGUCUACUAGUUGUCGGGUCUUAAUUGACUUGGUAACGCAGCUAACGCGUGAAGUAGACCGCCUGGGGGAGGUACGGUCGCGAGAGUUAAACUUAAAGUAGUAAGUUAGUACGGCGUGAGACGUAGACCGAACGGACGACCGACCGAGGGGAGGUUAGGG